GAUGCUGAUCCCAACCCUGCCAAAGAGAAGCCUCCUCCACCAAAUCUCCUUCUUUGUGGAAAGUAUGAACCUCCUGCUCCAACCCCUGCUCCCUCAGUGUCCCCAACACCAAGUGCUCCAUCAUCCAAUGCAUGUAAUCUGCAUAAAACAAGGUAUCUGAUUGCUAUGAUCACCACUGUCAUAUGUCUCUUCUAUAUCGGUGUUCAUUAAUUGAGAUGGUGCACCCUUUGCUAAGGAGAUGGGAGAUAUGAAGCACAAAAACUCCUGCUGUAUUUUUAUUUUUCUUUUUAAAUUGGUCUAUCACG